rnacentral:rRNA from 1 species
UACGGGGGGAGCAAGCGUUGUUCGGAUUUACUGGGCGUAAAGGGCGCGUAGGCGGCGUGACAAGUCACUUGUGAAAUCUCCGGGCUUAACUCGGAACGGUCAAGUGAUACUGUCGUGCUAGAGUACAGAAGGGGCAACUGGAAUUCUCGGUGUAGCGGUGAAAUGCGUAGAUAUCGAGAGGAACACCUGCGGCGAAGGCGGGUUGCUGGGCUGAUACUGACGCUUAGGCGCGAAAGCCAGGGGAGCGAACGGG